AAAAAAAAAAAAAAAAUUGUACCUGGGGCUUUUUACAAUUAUUGUUAUAUCACUCUUGUUUGAAUUGAUAAUCAGAUAUUGUUGUUUCUGUUGCAAAACUCUGAACUUAAUGUGUGAACAAGUGGUCCUUUGAAAAUAGAAGCAUGCUUCCUGAUGAGACAUUGCACAUGAACUGCAGGUUGCUCGCAGUGGUCAUACAGU
rnacentral:misc_RNA from 1 species